AGUUCCCUGCAAUGCGCGUGAUAAGUAGUGACUUCGAGCCAACACCUCAAUUAUGGGAGCCAUAUUUUGGUGCCGGGAGCAUGCUCGCAUACCUGGCGAGAAGCCAAAGGCACCAAGGAGGCACCCACUUUUAUUUUGAGGUUCAAGAUCUACUAUUUACACGGCAUUGCGGGGUUAAU
rnacentral:other from 1 species